GAUGAACGCUGGCGGCGUGCCUAAUACAUGCAAGUCGAGCGAACAGACGAGGAGCUUGCUCCUUUGACGUUAGCGGCGGACGGGUGAGUAACACGUGGAUAACCUACCUAUAAGACUGGGAUAACUUCGGGAAACCGGAGCUAAUACCGGAUAACAUGUUGAACCGCAUGGUUCAACAGUGAAAGACGGUCUUGCUGUCACUUAUAGAUGGAUCCGCGCCGCAUUAGCUAGUUGGUAAGGUAACGGCUUACCAAGGCAACGCUGCGUAGCCGACCUGAGAGGGUGAUCGGCCACACUGGAACUGAGACACGGUCCAGACUCCUACGGGAGGCAGCAGUAGGGAAUCUUCCGCAAUGGGCGAAAGCCUGACGGAGCAACGCCGCGUGAGUGAAGAAGGUCUUCGGAUCGUAAAACUCUGUUAUUAGGGAAGAACAAAUGUGUAAGUAACUAUGCACGUCUUGACGGUACCUAAUCAGAAAGCCACGGCUAACUACGUGCCAGCAGCCGCGGUAAUACGUAGGUGGCAAGCGUUAUCCGGAAUUAUUGGGCGUAAAGCGCGCGUAGGCGGUUUUUUAAGUCUGAUGUGAAAGCCCACGGCUCAACCGUGGAGGGUCAUUGGAAACUGGAAAACUUGAGUGCAGAAGAGGAAAGUGGAAUUCCAUGUGUAGCGGUGAAAUGCGCAGAGAUAUGGAGGAACACCAGUGGCGAAGGCGACUUUCUGGUCUGUAACUGACGCUGAUGUGCGAAAGCGUGGGGAUCAAACAGGAUUAGAUACCCUGGUAGUCCACGCCGUAAACGAUGAGUGCUAAGUGUUAGGGGGUUUCCGCCCCUUAGUGCUGCAGCUAACGCAUUAAGCACUCCGCCUGGGGAGUACGACCGCAAGGUUGAAACUCAAAGGAAUUGACGGGGACCCGCACAAGCGGUGGAGCAUGUGGUUUAAUUCGAAGCAACGCGAAGAACCUUACCAAAUCUUGACAUCCUCUGACCCCUCUAGAGAUGGAGUUUUCCCCUUCGGGGGACAGAGUGACAGGUGGUGCAUGGUUGUCGUCAGCUCGUGUCGUGAGAUGUUGGGUUAAGUCCCGCAACGAGCGCAACCCUUAAGCUUAGUUGCCAUCAUUAAGUUGGGCACUCUAAGUUGACUGCCGGUGACAAACCGGAGGAAGGUGGGGAUGACGUCAAAUCAUCAUGCCCCUUAUGAUUUGGGCUACACACGUGCUACAAUGGACAAUACAAAGGGUAGCGAAACCGCGAGGUCAAGCAAAUCCCAUAAAGUUGUUCUCAGUUCGGAUUGUAGUCUGCAACUCGACUACAUGAAGCUGGAAUCGCUAGUAAUCGUGGAUCAGCAUGCUACGGUGAAUACGUUCCCGGGUCU
rnacentral:rRNA from 1 species